rnacentral:rRNA from 1 species
ACAUGCAAGUCGAACGAUGAAGCCCAGCUUGCUGGGUGGAUUAGUGGCGAACGGGUGAGUAACACGUGAGUAACCUGCCCUUGACUCUGGGAUAAGCGUUGGAAACGACGUCUAAUACCGGAUACGAGCUUCCACCGCAUGGUGAGUUGCUGGAAAGAAUUUUGGUCAAGGAUGGACUCGCGGCCUAUCAGCUUGUUGGUGAGGUAACGGCUCACCAAGGCGACGACGGGUAGCCGGCCUGAGAGGGUGACCGGCCACACUGGGACUGAGACACGGCCCAGACUCCUACGGGAGGCAGCAGUGGGGAAUAUUGCACAAUGGGCGAAAGCCUGAUGCAGCAACGCCGCGUGAGGGACGACGGCCUUCGGGUUGUAAACCUCUUUUAGCAGGGAAGAAGCGAAAGUGACGGUACCUGCAGAAAAAGCACCGGCUAACUACGUGCCAGCAGCCGCGGUAAUACGUAGGGUGCAAGCGUUGUCCGGAAUUAUUGGGCGUAAAGAGCUCGUAGGCGGUUUGUCGCGUCUGCUGUGAAAUCCCGAGGCUCAACCUCGGGUCUGCAGUGGGUACGGGCAGACUAGAGUGCGGUAGGGGAGAUUGGAAUUCCUGGUGUAGCGGUGGAAUGCGCAGAUAUCAGGAGGAACACCGAUGGCGAAGGCAGAUCUCUGGGCCGCUACUGACGCUGAGGAGCGAAAGGGUGGGGAGCAAACAGGCUUAGAUACCCUGGUAGUCCACCCCGUAAACGUUGGGCGCUAGAUGUGGGGACCAUUCCACGGUUUCCGUGUCGUAGCUAACGCAUUAAGCGCCCCGCCUGGGGAGUACGGCCGCAAGGCUAAAACUCAAAGGAAUUGACGGGGGCCCGCACAAGCGGCGGAGCAUGCGGAUUAAUUCGAUGCAACGCGAAGAACCUUACCAAGGCUUGACAUAUACGAGAACGGGCCAGAAAUGGUCAACUCUUUGGACACUCGUAAACAGGUGGUGCAUGGUUGUCGUCAGCUCGUGUCGUGAGAUGUUGGGUUAAGUCCCGCAACGAGCGCAACCCUCGUUCUAUGUUGCCAGCACGUUAUGGUGGGAACUCAUGGGAUACUGCCGGGGUCAACUCGGAGGAAGGUGGGGACGACGUCAAAUCAUCAUGCCCCUUAUGUCUUGGGCUUCACGCAUGCUACAAUGGCCAGUACAAAGGGCUGCAAUACCGUAAGGUGGAGCGAAUCCCAAAAAGCUGGUCCCAGUUCGGAUUGAGGUCUGCAACUCGACCUCAUGAAGUCGGAGUCGCUAGUAAUCGCAGAUCAGCAACGCUGCGGUGAAUACGUUCCCGGGCCUUGUACACACCGCCCGUCAAGUCAUGAAAGUCGGUAACACCCGAAGCCAGUGGCCUAACCGCAAGGAUGGAGCUGUCUAAGGUGGGAUCGGUAAUUAGGACUAAG